UACGGGGGGGGCAAGCGUUGUUCGGAAUUACUGGGCGUAAAGGGCUCGUAGGCGGCCAACUAAGUCAGACGUGAAAUCCCUCGGCUUAACCGGGGAACUGCAUCUGAUACUGGAUGGCUUGAGUUCGGGAGAGGGAUGCGGAAUUCCAGGUGUAGCGGUGAAAUGCGUAGAUAUCUGGAGGAACACCGGUGGCGAAGGCGGCAUCCUGGACCGACACUGACACUGAGGAGCGAAAGCUAGGGGAGCGAACGGG
rnacentral:rRNA from 1 species